rnacentral:rRNA from 1 species
GAUGAACGCUGGCGGCGUGCCUAAUACAUGCAAGUCGAGCGAACAGACGAGGAGCUUUCUCGUCUGACGUUAGCGGCGGACGGGUGAUGAACACGAGUAUAACUUACCGAUAAGACUGAGAUAACUUCGGGAGACCGGAUCUAAUACCGGACAAUAGAGUGAACGGCAGGGUUUAAUGGUGUAAGACGGUCUGGCGGUCACAGAUCGAAUGAUCCACGCCGCAUUAGCUAGUUGGUAAGGUAACGGCUUACCAAGGCAACGAUGCGUAACCGACCUGAGAGGAUGAUCAGCCACACUGGAACUGAGACACGGUCCAGACUCCUACGGGAGGCAGCAGUGGGGAAUAUUACACAAUGGGCGAAAGCCUGACGGAGCAACGCCGCGUGAGUGAUGAAGGUCUUCGGAUCGUAAAGCUCUGUAAGUAGGGAAGAACAACAGUGUAAGUAAACAUGCCCGUCUUGACGGUACCUAAUAAGAAAGCCACGGCUAACUACGUG